rnacentral:tRNA from 2 species
GGUCUUGUAGUGUAGUGGUUAUCACACUAGUUUCUGAUACUGGUGACCUGGGUUCGAUUCCCAGCAGGACCU